rnacentral:rRNA from 1 species
GAUGAACGCUGGCGGCGUGCCUAAUACAUGCAAGUCGAGCGAACAGACGAGGAGCUUGCUCCUUUGACGUUAGCGGCGGGCGGGUGAGUAACACGUGGGUAACCUACCUAUAAGACUGGGAUAACUUCGGGAAACCGGAGCUAAUACCGGAUAAUAUUUCGAACCGCAUGGUUCGAUAGUGAAAGAUGGCUUUGCUAUCACUUAUAGAUGGACCUGCGCCGUAUUAGCUAGUUGGUAAGGUAACGGCUUACCAAGGCAACGAUACGUAGCCGACCUGAGAGGGUGAUCGGCCACACUGGAACUGAGACACGGUCCAGACUCCUACGGGAGGCAGCAGUAGGGAAUCUUCCGCAAUGGGCGAAAGCCUGACGGAGCAACGCCGCGUGAGUGAUGAAGGUCUUCGGAUCGUAAAACUCUGUUAUUAGGGAAGAACAAACGUGUAAGUAACUGUGCACGUCUUGACGGUACCUAAUCAGAAAGCCACGGCUAACUACGUGCCAGCAGCCGCGGUAAUACGUAGGUGGCAAGCGUUAUCCGGAAUUAUUGGGCGUAAAGCGCGCGUAGGCGGUUUUUUAAGUCUGAUGUGAAAGCCCACGGCUCAACCGUGGAGGGUCAUUGGAAACUGGAAAACUUGAGUGCAGAAGAGGAAAGUGGAAUUCCAUGUGUAGCGGUGAAAUGCGCAGAGAUAUGGAGGAACACCAGUGGCGAAGGCGACUUUCUGGUCUGUAACUGACGCUGAUGUGCGAAAGCGUGGGGAUCAAACAGGAUUAGAUACCCUGGUAGUCCACGCCGUAAACGAUGAGUGCUAAGUGUUAGGGGGUUUCCGCCCCUUAGUGCUGCAGCUAACGCAUUAAGCACUCCGCCUGGGGAGUACGACCGCAAGGUUGAAACUCAAAGGAAUUGACGGGGACCCGCACAAGCGGUGGAGCAUGUGGUUUAAUUCGAAGUAACGCGAAGAACCUUACCAAAUCUUGACAUCCUUUGACCCUUCUAGAGAUAGAAGUUUCCCCUUCGGGGGACAAAGUGACAGGUGGUGCAUGGUUGUCGUCAGCUCGUGUCGUGAGAUGUUGGGUUAAGUCCCGCAACGAGCGCAACCCUUAAGCUUAGUUGCCAUCAUUAAGUUGGGCACUCUAAGUUGACUGCCGGUGACAAACCGGAGGAAGGUGGGGAUGACGUCAAAUCAUCAUGCCCCUUAUGAUUUGGGCUACACACGUGCUACAAUGGACAAUACAAAGGGCAGCGAAACCGCGAGGUCAAGCAAAUCCCAUAAAGUUGUUCUCAGUUCGGAUUGUAGUCUGCAACUCGACUACAUGAAGCUGGAAUCGCUAGUAAUCGUAGAUCAGCAUGCUACGGUGAAUACGUUCCCGGGUCU